rnacentral:rRNA from 1 species
GAUCAUGGCUCAGGAUAAACGCUGGCGGCGCACAUAAGACAUGCAAGUCGAACGAACUUAACCAUUAGUUUACUAUUGGAACGGUUAGUGGCGGACUGGUGAGUAACACGUAAGCAACCUGCCUAUCAGAGGGGAACAACAGUUAGAAAUGACUGCUAAUACCGCAUAUGCCUUAGAAUCACAUGGUUCAAAAGGGAAAGGAGCAAUCCGCUGAUAGAUGGGCUUGCGUCUGAUUAG